CCCUUUUCAGGAUCAGCAGAAGCGUCUUUUAAAUAGAAAAUUCAGCCUCUUCGCCUUCGGGAACAAUGACUUUUCCUCCUUGCCAUGAAGAUUCUACAAGAUUGCACUUCGAUUCAAGAGAUUUCGAUUUACUUGCUGAACAAAGAGAAAUUAACGAGCGACAAGUAGGUAUUUUUCUCAGCGGUUUUUACCCUUUACCUAACUAUAUAAUAUGUUCGCUACGUUCAAAAUUCUUCUUCCAAUUAAUUCAAGAAAAAAUAUUGGAAAUAAUUUCAUCACUGGAGAUAUGUAUAAAGGUUUUUCGCAAGUGUUCAAAUUUCAUAACAUUCGCGAUCGUUUAACUAUAUAUUUUUAAAAUUCGGUUUCUAUUUUGUUUCGGGAGUGUUCGAAUAUUUUUAAAACCGCGAUCGUUUGAUAAAAUCACGUCAAGUAUUUCUUUAUUGCAACUUUUAUUUCGAGAGUGUUUUGAGUAUUUUAAAAUCGUUAAAUAGUGGAAAAUUCUGUUUUUUUAAUUUAAAUUUUUGUGAAAUUACGCGAGUGUUUGUAUUUACGUUGUUUUGGUGCAUUAUAUCGGAGGGUAGCUUCAGGAUGAAGAUCGUAUAUAUCAGGUGUUUGCUACUUCAAGAAAUGGUGUUUGUUGCAGAGCUACUUCUGGAGGAGAUUUGGUAUAAAUUUCAUU